AGCAGCCGCGGUAAUUCCAGCUCCAAUAGCGUAUAUUAAAGUUGCUGCAGUUAAAAAGCUCGUAGUUGAAUUUCGGGAUCAAUAUGUUGGUCGUGCCUUGGUACGUACUAGCUUAUUGAUUUCUUCCUUCUGAUGAACCAUGAUGUCAUUAAUUUGGUGUCAUGGGGAAUCAGGACUGUUACUUUGAAAAAUUAGAGUGUUUAAAGCAGGCUAACGCUUGAAUACAUUAGCAUGGAAUAAUGAAAUAGGACGUUUGAUUCUAUUUUGUUGGUUUCUAGGAUCGACGUAAUGAUUAAUAGGGAUAGUUGGGGGCAUUAGUAUUCAAUUGUCAGAGGUGAAAUUCUUGGAUUUAUUGAAGACUAACUACUGCGAAAGCAUUUGCCAAGGAUGUUUCAUUAAUCAAGAACGAAAGUUAGGGGAUCGAAGACGAUCAGAUACCGUCGUAGUCUUAACCAUAAACUAUGCCGACUAGGGAUCGGAUGAUGUUAAUUUUUAANGACUCAUUC
rnacentral:rRNA from 1 species